GGAGAAGUGGCCGAGUGGUCGAUGGCGCAGCACUGGAAAUGCUGUGUAGGGCAACUUACCGUGGGUUCGAAUCCCACCUUCUCCG
rnacentral:tRNA from 1 species